rnacentral:rRNA from 1 species
GAUGAACGCUGGCGGCGUGCCUAACACAUGCAAGUCGAACGAUGAAACCGCCCUCGGGCGGACAUGAAGUGGCGAACGGGUGAGUAACACGUGACCAACCUGCCCCUUGCUCCGGGACAACCUUGGGAAACCGAGGCUAAUACCGGAUACUCCUCGCCCCCCUCCUGGGGGGCCCGGGAAAGCCCAGACGGCAAGGGAUGGGGUCGCGGCCCAUUAGGUAGUAGGCGGGGUAACGGCCCACCUAGCCCGCGAUGGGUAGCCGGGUUGAGAGACCGACCGGCCACAUUGGGACUGAGAUACGGCCCAGACUCCUACGGGAGGCAGCAGUGGGGAAUUUUGCGCAAUGGGGGCAACCCUGACGCAGCAACGCCGCGUGCGGGAAGACGGCCUUCGGGUUGUAAACCG